rnacentral:rRNA from 1 species
AGUGAACGCUGGCGGUAUGCCUAACACAUGCAAGUCGAACGGCAGCACCGUAUGUGCUUGCUCUUACGGGUUGCGAGUGUCGGACGGGUUACUUAUACAUCGGAUUCUACUUUUUCGUUGGUUCUACUGUAGGGGAAUUUAUGCUACUACCUCAUUCCACCUACGUGUGUAAGCCGGUGUUCUUUUGACCUUGCGCGAUUGAAUGAGCCUAUGUCGGAUUAGCUAGUUGGCGGGGCAAAGGCCCACCAAGGCGACGAUCCGUAGCUGGUCUGAGAGGAUGAACAGCCACACUGGAACUGAGACACGGUCCAGACUCCUACGGGAGGCAGCAGUGGGGAAUAUUGGACAAUGGGCGAAAGCCUGAUCCAGCAAUACCGCGUGGGUGAAGAAGGCCUUCGGGUUGUAAAGCACUUUUGUUGGGAAAGAAAAACAGCAGGUUAAUACGCGGCGGUUAUGACGGUACCGAAAGAAUAAGCACCGGCUAACUUCGUG